GACGAACGCUGGCGGCGUGCUUAACACAUGCAAGUCGAACGGAGAGGCGCUGCUUUUGUGGGGUGCUGGGGUGGCGAGCGGGUGAGUAGCACAAGAGUAACCUACCCUGGACUUUGGGAUAACUUAAGGAAACGGGAGCGAAUACAGGAUAGGAGCUCCUGGUUCAGUGGGAGGGUGGGAAAGUUUCGGCGGUUGGGGAUGGACUCGCGGCGUAUCAGCUUGUUGGUGGGGUAGUGGCGUACCAAGGCUUUGACGGGUAGCCGGCCUGAGAGGGUGACCGGCCACAUUGGGACUGAGACACGGCCCAGACUCCUACGGGAGGCAGCAGUGGGGAAUAUUGCACAAUGGGCGGAAGCCUGAUGCAGCAACGCCGCGUGCGGGAUGACGGCCUUCGGGUUGUAAACCGCUUUCGCCUGUGACGAAGCGUGAGUGACGGUAAUGGGUAAAGAAGCACCGGCUAACUACGUG
rnacentral:rRNA from 1 species